GGGGCUGAUUAUGGAUUUGACAAAAUAUACAAAAAUUUUUGUUGCAUGUCGAGGGUUGGUUUGCCUCGAUAAAAAACCAAUUUAAAAUAAAAGCAAAAAAUAAAACUUACGCUUUAGCAGCUUAAAAAACUAGAUAAAGCCCUUUCUUUCUAAUCUUUUUUUUCUUCUCUUUUAAAAAGAAUAGAUAUAUUUUGAAAGGUUAUAUAAAAAGAGAUAGCUAUAUGCAAUUAAUCUUGAAAGAAUAUAGUGAUAUUUAAAGCCAAGAUAAAAAAUAAUACUUUGUUUAUUGAGUAUUAUUUAACAAAUAAAAAUAAACUAAACAUGUAGAGCAAUAAUCUCAGUUAUUUUGGACGCGGGUUCGAAUCCCGCCAGCUCCAA
rnacentral:tmRNA from 1 species